UACGGAGGGUGCGAGCGUUGUCCGGAAUCACUGGGCGUAAAGGGCGCGUAGGCGGCGCGGCUAGUCGGCGGUGAAAGCCCGGAGCUCAACUCCGGGUCGGCCGUCGAUACUUCCGGGCUUGAGCACUGUAGAGGCAGAUGGAAUUCCGGGUGUAGCGGUGGAAUGCGUAGAGAUCCGGAAGAACACCGGUGGCGAAGGCGGUCUGCUGGGGUGAGGCUGACGCUGAUGCGCGACAGCGUGGGGAGCAAUCAGG
rnacentral:rRNA from 1 species